GCUUAGACGAUAAUCCCCCCCUUCAGAGUCAGGCACAGCUACUGUAUAAUCACCAAAACUCACGAACCGCCAAUAAGUGAAUGCUCCAAACUCCCGAACGGCAUACAAGGGAAUAAGGUAGCACUUCAAAUAAACGAACAGGAACCAUACGAAUAGCUGCUAGCAGGCGAACAGGAAAAGCUUCCAAGCGGCUUACACUCCUGGCAAUCAGUCCUUAG